GAGAGAUGGGGGAGGGGGUGCGGGGGAAUAGGAGGGGGGCGAGCGUUGUUCGGAAUCGGUGGGCGUAAAGCGUGCGUAGGUGGAGUGGUAAGUAAGGAGUGAAAUCCCAGGGCUUAACCCUGGAACUGCUCUUUAGACUGCCUGUCUGGAAUUCGGAAGAGGUUGGUGGAACUCCCAGUGUAGAGGUGAAAUUCGCAGAUAUUGGGAAGAACACCGGUGGCGAAGGCGACCAACUGGUCCGACAUUGACACUGAGGCACGAAAGCGUGGGUAGCAAACAGGAUUAGAUACCCCAGUAGUC
rnacentral:rRNA from 1 species